UAGUCCACGCCGUAAACGAUGAUUACUCGCUGUAGGCGAUACACAGUCUGUGGCUAAGCGAAAGUUUUAAGUAAUCCACCUGGGGAGUACGAUCGCAAGAUUGAAACUCAAAGGAAUUGACGGGGGCCCGCACAAGCGGAGGAACAUGUGGUUUAAUUCGAUGAUACGCGAGGAACCUUACCUGGACUUAAAUGUAGAUUGCAUAGCUUAGAGAUAGGCUUUUCUUCGGACUAUUUACAAGGUGCUGCAUGGUUGUCGUCAGCUCGUGCCGUGAGGUGUUGGGUUAAGUCCCGCAACGAGCGCAACCCUUAUCACUAGUUGCCAGCAUUUAAGGUGGGGACUCUAGUGAGACUGCCGGCGUAAGCCGUGAGGAAGGUGGGGAUGACGUCAAAUCAUCAUGGCCUUUAUGCCUAGGGCUACACACGUGCUACAAUGGCGAGUACAGAGGGUAGCGAAGCCGUAAGGUGGAGCCAAUCUCAUAAAACUCGUCCCAGUUCGGAUUGAAGU
rnacentral:rRNA from 1 species